rnacentral:rRNA from 1 species
CCUACGGGUGGCUGCAGUGAGGAAUAUUGGUCAAUGGGCGCGAGCCUGAACCAGCCAAGCCGCGUGAAGGAUGACUGCCCUACGGGUUGUAAACUUCUUUUAUAAAGGAAUAAAGUGAGGCACGUGUGCCUUUUUGCAUGUACUUUAUGAAUAAGGAACGGCUAACUCCGUGCCAGCAGCCGCGGUAAUACGGAGGGUCCGAGCGUUAUCCGGAUUUAUUGGGUUUAAAGGGAGCGUAGAUGGGUUGUUAAGUCAGUUGUGAAAGUUUGGGGCUCAACCGUAAAAUUGCAAUUGAUACUGGCAGUCUUGAGUACAGUUGAGGUAGGCAGAAUUCGUGGUGUAGCGGUGAAAUGCGUAGAGAUCACGAAGAACACCGAUUGCGAAGGCAGCUUACUAAACUGCCACUGACAUUGAUGCUCGAAAGUGUGGGUAUCAAACAGGAUUAGAUACCCUAGUAGUC